rnacentral:rRNA from 1 species
CCUACGGGUUGCACCAGUGGGGAAUAUUGCACAAUGGGCGCAAGCCUGAUGCAGCCAUGCCGCGUGUGUGAAGAAGGCCUUCGGGUUGUAAAGCACUUUCAGCGGGGAGGAAGGCGGUGAGGUUAAUAACCUCAUCAAUUGACGUUACCGACAGAAGAAGCACCGGCUAACUCCGUGCCAGCAGCCGCGGUAAUACGGAGGGUGCAAGCGUUAAUCGGAAUUACUGGGCGUAAAGCGCACGCAGGCGGUUGAUUGAGUCAGAUGUGAAAUCCCCGGGCUUAACCCGGGAAUUGCAUCUGAUACUGGUCAGCUAGAGUCUUGUAGAGGGGGGUAGAAUUCCAUGUGUAGCGGUGAAAUGCGUAGAGAUGUGGAGGAAUACCGGUGGCGAAGGCGGCCCCCUGGACAAAGACUGACGCUCAGGUGCGAAAGCGUGGGGAGCAAACAGGAUUAGAUACCCGAGUAGUC